rnacentral:rRNA from 1 species
AGAGUUUGAUCAUGGCUCAGAUUGAACGCUGGCGGCAGGCCUAACACAUGCAAGUCGAACGGUAACAGGAAACAGCUUGCUGUUUCGCUGACGAGUGGCGGACGGGUGAGUAAUGUCUGGGAAACUGCCUGAUGGAGGGGGAUAACUACUGGAAACGGUAGCUAAUACCGCAUAACGUCGCAAGACCAAAGAGGGGGACCUUCGGGCCUCUUGCCAUCGGAUGUGCCCAGAUGGGAUUAGCUAGUAGGUGGGGUAACGGCUCACCUAGGCGACGAUCCCUAGCUGGUCUGAGAGGAUGACCAGCCACACUGGAACUGAGACACGGUCCAGACUCCUACGGGAGGCAGCAGUGGGGAAUAUUGCACAAUGGGCGCAAGCCUGAUGCAGCCAUGCCGCGUGUAUGAAGAAGGCCUUCGGGUUGUAAAGUACUUUCAGCGGGGAGGAAGGGAGUAAAGUUAAUACCUUUGCUCAUUGACGUUACCCGCAGAAGAAGCACCGGCUAACUCCGUGCCAGCAGCCGCGGUAAUACGGAGGGUGCAAGCGUUAAUCGGAAUUACUGGGCGUAAAGCGCACGCAGGCGGUUUGUUAAGUCAGAUGUGAAAUCCCCGGGCUCAACCUGGGAACUGCAUCUGAUACUGGCAAGCUUGAGUCUCGUAGAGGGGGGUAGAAUUCCAGGUGUAGCGGUGAAAUGCGUAGAGAUCUGGAGGAAUACCGGUGGCGAAGGCGGCCCCCUGGACGAAGACUGACGCUCAGGUGCGAAAGCGUGGGGAGCAAACAGGAUUAGAUACCCUGGUAGUCCACGCCGUAAACGAUGUCGACUUGGAGGUUGUGCCCUUGAGGCGUGGCUUCCGGAGCUAACGCGUUAAGUCGACCGCCUGGGGAGUACGGCCGCAAGGUUAAAACUCAAAUGAAUUGACGGGGGCCCGCACAAGCGGUGGAGCAUGUGGUUUAAUUCGAUGCAACGCGAAGAACCUUACCUGGUCUUGACAUCCACGGAAGUUUUCAGAGAUGAGAAUGUGCCUUCGGGAACCGUGAGACAGGUGCUGCAUGGCUGUCGUCAGCUCGUGUUGUGAAAUGUUGGGUUAAGUCCCGCAACGAGCGCAACCCUUAUCCUUUGUUGCCAGCGGUCCGGCCGGGAACUCAAAGGAGACUGCCAGUGAUAAACUGGAGGAAGGUGGGGAUGACGUCAAGCCAUCAUGGCCCUUACGACCAGGGCUACACACGUGCUACAAUGGCGCAUACAAAGAGAAGCGACCUCGCGAGAGCAAGCGGACCUCAUAAAGUGCGUCGUAGUCCGGAUUGGAGUCUGCAACUCGACUCCAUGAAGUCGGAAUCGCUAGUAAUCGUGGAUCAGAAUGCCACGGUGAAUACGUUCCCGGGCCUUGUACACACCGCCCGUCACACCAUGGGAGUGGGUUGCAAAAGAAGUAGGUAGCUUAACCUUCGGGAGGGCGCUUACCACUUUGUGAUUCAUGACUGGGGUGAAGUCGUAACAAGGUAACCGUAGGGGAACCUGCGGUUGGAUCACCU